CCGCCCGGCGCGGGAUGCUGCGGGGCCAGCGCGGGGGCCCGCCGGGGUAGCCCCUACCUGAUGGCCACCGCUGCUUGGGCGGCCGCUGCCGCCACCCCGGACAGCUUUUGCCUCUCGGGCGGAGGGGAGCGGAGCCCCGAUGGGCGUCCUUCCUCGGGAAGCCGGCAUGUGCAUCCUCUGCACGGGACCCUGCUCCUAAAGAUUCUUCUUCGGUGAGGACGGGGCUUGCGAAGUUAUUCCUCUCCUGGGCAGACAGCAAGGCAGCAGUCCUGCCCAGAGUCUUCUCCCAAGUUAGGCACCAGUGGAGAGCAAGGCUUCAGGAGAUGUUCUGCGGCAGCUGGAUUUCAUCCUGGAGGUGGCCCUUAGGAAUAAAGCCUCUCCUGAUGUUAUUCCCUCCCCAGUAAUAACCAUAGGUGUUGGGGUUCCCUUGGUAUCCAUGGCCUGCCGACUGUGAUGGUGACGUUCUCUCCCUGUGAUUUGAUGCACUUCGAUGAUGGUAAUUUGAAGUAAGCACCACCAGCUGAAUGGGUAUAGAAAAGGAUCUCAAAUAGGUGGGGAUGUGGAAAGGCAGCAGCAUCUUCAGGCAGGUUGCCAGUGAUACAAAAGACUAAAUGCUUUCACCUGGGGCAGAGAUGCUGGGAGAUAAAAAGGAGUGAUACCAGAAUGAUUCCAAGAAAUCAAGGUUUGAAGAUAUAGAUCAGAAAAGGAUGGAUCAAGAUGGAUGUGGUGAAAAGGGUACCAGUUGAAUGACAGGUGUCUGUGUAGCCACUUCUGAUGCCUCUUCCAUGCCUCUGGGCUUCUCUCAAAAGUUCUCUGUGUCUUCAUGUCCUCAAGCACAAGAAGUUCACCUGAGGGAGGAUUUUUGGGCUCUGACUGUUCACUCAAGCCCCUGGGUCUUGCUCUUUGUAGACAAUCAUUUGAGCUUGACUGCUGCUUGCUGGCCAAUUGGCCGGAUGUGGAAAGACUCUGCUGAUGAGAGCAUCUGAUCAAUAAACAAGGGGCAAAAGAGAAAUAUCAGAUGCCUGAAGGGCUUGUGUUUUGUCACUGGCCCAUCGCACCAGGAGUGGGAUUCAGAAACCCUGGUAGUGAGUCAUGCAUCCGUCUUGAGGUGACCUCGGGGACUUAGCAGGAUUGCUGUGGAAGAGGUACAGGCUGCUGUGUGAGUCACGGCAUCAGGUAAUAAAUUAGCCAAUAUAAUUCACUGGGAAAUUUAUCUAGCUGCAUUGCUCUGCCUGAUGUGCUCUUUCCCUUUGGGAGGCUUCUGAUUAAAUAAACUUUAUUUCUUGUAUCGAAAAUUGCUCACAAAAGAUGCAAUAAACUCCGGGGAGUCACCCACAAGUACUGCACAGUAUGCACAGUGGUGAAUAUUGGGUAGCUUACUUUGUCCCAGAGAACUUAGAAACACUUCUUGAAGGGGGUCUCUAAUUGAGUUGCUUGUCUGUGGAGAAAGAGGAAGGGAAAAUAGGUUGUCUUGACCUACCUCUGCUGAAGAAGCUAAUAAUUUUUGAUAUGCUGGAACAUUUUUAAGCAGUUUUAAGCAUAAUCAUGACCACGUAUUAGGAUACUUGCAAUGACUAAUUCUUUCUGUGAAGCUUGCUGACAUCUUUCCUGUCUAUUUAGGAAAAUUUAGUAUAAAAACUAAGGGAACUGAUCAAAAGACUAUGCAUGUUCCUUGCAGGAUCUGGAAGAUUGGAACUUCCCAAGCCAAUUAAACUUGAAGCAAAUUUAAAUGGGGAUGGAUAUUAUCAGAAUCUGUAGCUCAUUUAAACAAUGCAAAUAUGUAUUAAAAUAAAAAAUCAUCCUAUGCUGUGGAUAUGAAAGAAGAAAUGAAUUCUUUGUCAUAACAGUCUUGAUAGCUUGACCUGUGAUUACUUCAUGUCACAUCUGCACCUCUGCUAAGACGUAGCAGCUAAUCCUGGAAAACAUUUCCAGGCAUACGAAUAACAAGAAAAUAAUCAGAAGCAGUCAGCGUGGAUUCACAAAGGAGGAAGACAUGCUUGAUCAACCUGAUAGCCUACAGUAAAAGACCUGGCCUGCUGGCUGAGGGGCGAGUGGCUCCUGUCUACUUGGACUUUAGUAAGGCCUUUGGGACUGUCUCCCAUGAGAUCCUCCUAGACAAACAGUUGUUGUAUGGCUUAGGUGAGCAGACAGUGAGCUGGACAGAAAACUGCUCGGAUGGGCAGACCCAAAUGCUGAUGACUGGUGGCACAACAUCUAGCCGGUGACUAGCAGUGUACCCCAGGGGUCAAUACUGGGUCCUUCAACAAUCUUCGUUAAUGAUCUGGGUGAUGAGGCAGAGCACACAAUCAGGAAUAUUUUUUUCCCUGAACUAGUUGAGGGGCCCCAUUCAGAGGUUUCAUCCCAAAUUUGCCCUAAACCAGGACAGCUCCUCAGUAGAGUAAAGCCAUGAACAUAUUGCAGAAAAUCCAUUCUUCAAUGGACCCUUGAAUGAAAAAGUCAUUAGGAUGACUGAGGGACUGGAGCACCUCUGCUAUGAGGAAAGGCUGAGGGAGCUGGGGCUGUUCAGUCUGAAGAGAAAAGGCUCAGAGGGAUCUCAUCAAUGCCUAUGAAUCCAUGAAGGGAGGUCACAAAGAAGACACAAAGAAGGAGCAGAGCUCCUUCCAGUGGUGCCCAGUGGCAGAACCAGAGGCAGGAGGAACAAACUGAAAUAUGGGAGGUUCCCUCUGAACUUCAGGAUACACUUUUUCGUUGUGAGGAUGACCAAACACUAGGGCAGGUUGCCCAGAGAGAUGGUGCAGUCUCCAUCCUUGGAAAUGCUCAAAAGUAAUCUGGACAUGGUCCUAGGCAACCUGUAGAUGACCCUGCUUGAUUAGAGGUUUCUUCCAACUUGCAGCGUUCUGUGAUACUUUUAUGGCAGAGAAAAUAAUGGGUGAGUGUGAACAUGUGUGCAUGCCCAGACUGAGCACUCUCAUCAUGGUAUGCAGGGGCACUGGAGAGAGAUAGGCAAAGCACUUUUUUAACUGGAAAAGAGGAUGCAAGCAGCUCACUUUGAAUGGGUGAAAUCUGCAUGGUACACCAGGAAUUCUCUGGGGAAAAGUGUGCAGUGGGGCACAAAGUGUGCACAUAAAUCACAGGGCAGUUGUGUUCUUGAAUAACAUGAAAUCUGCUUUUUUUUAGAAGGCAGCCUAUCUAAUACCUGUCAAAUGGGGAUGGCUUCCCCAAAACCACCUGCUCCAGCAGACCAUCAGCCAUCACAUAGCUGCAGGCACCAGGAGUGGCUUGCUGCAGUCCCAUGGUAGCCCCUCACUCUCAGGCAUUUCCCUGGUAGUCCCCUUCCUUCUGCUUUUGGGAAAUAUCCUCUGCUUCACCCUCUGCCACCCAGCAAGCCAAGUAUCUGAGAGUAGGUUUCUCAACCCCUCCAGCAGCUGUGGGGCCACAGACACUGCUUGGGUGGCAUCUCACCUCAACCCAGCUAGCUGCUGCUGGCAGCUGUGAAGAGCUUUCAGGGCCUUUCUGAAGACCCGGGCAGAGAAGUGAGCUAUGAGAUAGCUAUCUACCAGCUCUGCUGUCCCAGUGAUCAAUACCUAGCAAUAAACACAGCUGGGGAUCAGACGCAUACACUGUGAAACUUCCUUUUUUUUUAUUUGGCUUUUGGCUGCACCAGAGACCAAGAUCAGGCAGUGACAGAAGUCUGUCCAGGCUUCCUUCCAACACUGUGAACAUGUUGCUGAAGACUGCCUCUAGAGGAAACAGUGUUUGAGUUUGUACCCACAGGUACCCUCCAUGAGGAGUUAUGGGGAAGAAUAUGCAGAAGUGGUUUUUAGGAAGAUCUUGCUAUUUUCCUCCGUGGAUAGUGCAAUGAACAGGUAGGAGUGGUAGUAGUGGUAAGGCUUCUGUGAUGAAGUGGGGAAAAAUUAGAUACUCUGUUGUCCAGAGGAAAAUACAUCUUCAUCACCAUGGUGCUUGCGUGCCACUCCUGUCUAAAAAUUAAGAACCGACUUGUACAGACAUCACUCAUAAGAAGGGCUAAAUGUGUACUUGAUUAACCUUAGUGCCCUACCAACUAGUUAGGCAGCUUGUGGGGACAACUUCACAGAUGUUAAUAUUUCCUUUCUGUGGACUUGUUCCCUUUUCUCAUAAGCUGCAUCCAUAAGUAUCCAUUAUCGAACUGAGCCAUUGCAGAUGGUGAGAUGGCAACAACCAUGAGUCAGUCAUGGUACUGUGCUGUGUCAGGGAGCAAUAUCUAAAAGAAAGGUUGUGUGUUCAUUGUGCUGGGAGCACAGCUCUGUGAAUGCUUUAUGUCUGCUGGUGUUUACUACACGAGGAGGUGUGUAACCACAAAGGGUGAAGGGCAGUGAUGGGAGGGGACUUUGCCAGCAUUACACAUAUUUUCAGUGUAGUAGGGUGUUCUUCUGUUUCAAAGGCAUUUGAUGCAGGGGUGAAGUAAAGCUUUUAUUGCUUGGAGUGCUUGUAACAUUUAGAGUUGCUAAAAAUCUUGCAUGCUGAUAUCAGGGGAUAUCAAAUGGCUCCUGAUUGCAAGUGUGGGUGUAAAUACGCUGCUUUUCACUCCCUUUCCGUAGAACAUACCUGUGUCUCUGAAGAAACAGGGAAGGAUGCUGUAAAAACAGCUACAAAUGUUGCAGAGGAGGAGCGGAGCACCUGAAGGUCUCCAGCCAUCCUGCAGGAGUGAGGGCUUGGUGCCAAGCUGAGCAGAGGCUCAGAGGGGCCAGACCCGUUCCUCUGCCCAGCCUCAUUUCCUUUGCACUCCACCUGGAGCAGAGACAAUGCAGGCCACUUGGACCAGCUCCGUUUGAGCAGGGAUGCUCCUCACCAUAUCCCAGAGAUGCUAGGUUUAGAGGGUGCCAGAGAAUAUUUACCCAAUGUGUUUACUAUUACUGGCCUUGCACAGCCCUUCACCAGCCAUUCCCUGGCUGAGGCUCCAUCUCUACAUCCAGAGUCAGGCAUCCAGCCAAGAAAGAAGGCCACGUGGCAGGUUCUCUUUUUUCCUCUGCAGGUGGCUGUAAAAUACUGUCCAAAGCUUGUGCAAAACUGUUUAAAUCACCACCAGAGAAUACAUUUUUCGUUGGCAUGGUGAUAGGAAUGACGGAGUAAUAGAAAUUUUGUAACUUUUUGCUCCUUCCUGCAAAGUGCAACUGGUUCCUCAGACUCUGAUGGCCUUUUGGGUCACCAGGGUGUAUGGGCACUGUCUCUUUAGCUGGUCUAUUCCCAGAAGUCCUGCUACAACAGGACAGCUGUCAGAGGUCUGUGCCCACACCACAAGCAGAUGGGCACAACUUGUGCAGUUUCACCCUGACACAGGAUAAAGACCCUUAUAUAAGCACAUCCCUGGGACUUCCAGUUGAUUCCAAAUACCCUCCUCCCAAGACUAAUUUUCAUUUUCCAUCCAGGAAGCAAUCAAUGUACAGCUGAAGCAAUAGAAUAUGGGCCUCAGAGACUCCUUGUUUCGACAGACAGCUUAUCCCAGGCACAGUCACCUGGCUUGGACCUCCCCUCAGCUCAUUUCCCUAUGGAAAGUGAGUACAGACCAAUCCAGAAAGCUCCUCUGCUGCUGUCAUGGUCUCUGAAAAGGAGCAACCAUCCAUUGGUGUGUUUUGAAUUGUACCUUGUGCUUUGACAGGAAGCUGCAAUGUGGCAGAAUGAGAAAUUAAUUAGCCUCAUGCUGCUGCAAGCAUUUCCAGUCCCAGCUGACAACAGACUAAUUAAGAACCUCCCUGUGGUGUCUAUUUUAGAUAACCAUUUACUUUGAUACAAUUUAACAAGGGCUUUUCUAAUGGUUUAUUUCACAGGCAACUCAUUAGAUUAAUGCGUGGCAAAUAGCAGGAACUUGAGAAUAGAUGUUUUGAAUUCCCAGCCACCAAAAGUCAAUACAAUUUUGCCAAAGAGUGCACUAAUUUUAUCGAGGCAAAACACAUGAUUCCUUCUGAUAUUUUGUGUCAUGUAAUUUGUUUUCAGAUGUUACCUUAACCUAAGUCCAGAAGUUUUGAAAACUGAAGGUGGCCUUGCAAGUGCUGGUCCUCAGGAGCCGAUUAGUGCCCCUGUAUGUGAUUUGCCCAUCAGAGUCAUUUGUGGUGCUUGCAGACUGAGGACCAAGAGUGCUAAGUGUGCCACUUCAUUAGAGUUGUCUGUUUCAGAACCUCAGUGAAGGCUGAGGAACCAAACUUCCUGCUAGCCCAACGAUCCCUGCAUCUAUGACUAUGGAAAAUGCUGGUACAUGUGCAAGUCCAAGGCUUCCACAGGAUCUCUCACAAAGCCUAACAGAACCAGAAGAGGGGCCUUACUCUCCUCAAAUGGCAGGAAGGAGUGUCCCUAGUUUCUACCUUAACUUUCAAAUGUUAAGCUUGACCCUACCUAACUGCACAAAUGCAGUUUGUCUUUUGGAACCUACAGGCGUGCCAGGUGUAGUCUGGACCAAAGUAGGGACAUGAGCUGAAAAUGAACCUAGAAGCAAUUUGGUUUUCUCCACACAAUCUGUCCCUAAUGGGAAAACAUGUAGGAGGAUUUUACCUUCCCUUACUGUCUCUGCACUGCCUCAUGGUCACAAAUUACAAUUGUGAGGGUGAAAUCUUUGGCUCCAAAUUAAGAGUGAGUGGAAGACAGCAGAGAUGACAGGUUGGACUUCAGAUAGCAUAUGAUUGCACAGCUUGGAAAGAAGACUGGGGCUCUGGGUGGGGAAAGAAAGCAAAGAACAUGAGCUGAAAGGCCUUGCCAAGGGGAAUACAGUGGUGCCACAGCAGCAACUAAAUAUUCUGUGUAAUUUUCAGCAGGAUGCAGUUCUCCACAUGACUGAGAUCAGGUUUUUCAUUGUCACUAGAAUUAAUUGGGAGGGUCUCUUUGAAAUGAGUAUGUGAAUGUCUAAUAUAUUUUCUUUUUCCCUAGGGGGAAACUAACCAGUUUGCUAUCUUCAAACACCAUCGGAAACUUAAGUUAAAGCCUCAUAGAUUAAUUUUGCUUCCAAGUUUGGUUGAAAUUUGGAUGAAUAAUUUCAUUGGACAAAUUGCUUAAACUGGAAAUGCCUUCUUACAAGUCAUCUGCUCAGAGCCAACUGCUCAGGGGCACACAGAUCAUCAUUGCUUGUUGAUGGAGAAGAGUGUUUCUAUGCUUUUCUUUCUAAAAUGCUAUCCCAAACUAAAAUCACUAUAUUCUUGUCUAGGAUAACAUGCAGGAAGUGAAAACUAAAAACAUAAGUGGGAUUAUCAGUUUGCAUUUCUCAGCACCUAAUUGUUUGUAAUUCUUGCCUCACUGUCCCUCACUCACAGAAAUUCUGUGUGACCAGAAUUUGGAGCAUUUUCCCUGUUUCAUGGCAACAGAGCUAUGCUGUAGAGGCUCCACAAAGCCACACACAUUAUGAUUUUUAUCCCUUGUUGCAGGCUGGCUAUGUGUAAACACUUACUUCCCAGUCUUGUCUGAGCCUUUUUGGAUGCGAGCAGCUACAGCAAAUAUCAAGUGUGACUUCAUUUGCUGUAGCUAUCUGCCCUCUGCCUCCUAAUCCUUCAGGCUGUUGCUGCUUUCCCCAAUGGCUGAAUGCUGGGAGGCUGGUGACCCACUUCCCGAGAAUGAAGGCACCGUGGAACAUUGGGUAGCUGCAGUGCCCAGCAGCUCUGCUGAAGCUGAGUGCUGACAGCCAGAAGGCAGCCAGGACAGAAUGCAAUUGCCUCUGAAAUGUACUUCCCCCAGCAGAUGCUUCUGCUGUAGCUGGGUGACAAAACGUGCUCUUGACUCACAGGUGAAUGCUGGCUCAGUGCUAUCGCUUGUGUUUCUUCCUGGCAAAAGCCUCCAAGGACCCUAUUAAGCAGGGGGCUUCUAAAACUUUUUUUUUUCUGAGGAGUAGCUUUAUAUAAGCAACCUGUGUCACACUGAUGAAAAUUUUUACUUCUGUCUUUUUCUGGCUGGUCCUCUAGGCAUUUCAUGGUGGCUUCCUGAGGUCACUGGCACUGCUCUGCUGACUCCUACCUGGCAUGCUGCUCCCUUGGCCGAGCUCAGCCUGUCUGAAAAGUAAUGUUGUCUACCAGGGUGCUCAUGUCAACUGCUGGGUGCAACUGGAUGAGCUGCAGUUGUCAUUCCUUUUGAAACUAUCAGGUGGUCCUUUUUUUGUACUCUUUUAUUUAUUAUUAAAUAUCAGUUUCCAAUAAUAUUUUAUGGUUUCUAAGGAUACUGUGUGUAAGAGUCCCCAGGUUGUAAACUCACAUGUCUUUUGUGCUUGGGUGUAUUAACAGAUGGUGCUUGGGCAUGUUGCAGUACCUGAGAGUCUGUCUGGCUUCUGAAGCUGACCUGAUACCUGCUGAUAGUUUUCCAAAGCAGAAAUUCUUGAAAUUCUUUAUGGGAACAUGAGAUUGAGGUAAGGUCUUGUGGAUGAGCUACAUCUGAACACCAAGUGACCACAGCCCACUGUGUGUGGAGGCUUGCUUAGUCCCAGCAGUAACACUGAACAGCACAUUGUGAUUGUGCAGUUUUGAUUUUCAGACUCUCACCAAAUGUGUGUCAUUUUUUCCUAGGUAUUCUCUUGCCCUGGGUCCCAGGUGUUGCACUUGGUUUCUUCUAUACUGCUAGGUCUCUUCAGGGGCAAGGAUAUCCUCAGGGAUAACACUGUUUCCUGUCAAACACACUGGGAGCAGCCCACGAGGUGUGGAGUCCUUGGGCUUCAACUAUAGAGUAUGAUCCUAUGUCUUUAGUAAGGACAUUGGUGUUCCUAUUGUGAAUUCCUGUCAUAAAUCCCACCCUAUUCUGCCAGGGGGAACCACCAGGUGCCAUGUUACCCCAUGGCUUUUUGCAGGCUUGCUGUUUUCAGCAAAUAACUCUUCUAUUGGUGUUUUAGCGUUCAUUCAGACUCUGUGUCCCUGCCAGGAUCUUUCCACAUUUCCUUUUCAGGUGCUACCUGCAAAACAUAUAAUUAGUCAGAAGGACAAAGACUGGAUAAAAAAUUCCUCAGCAACAUUUAGUCAACAGAUUCAUCCCCUGUGAUCAAAGGCCCUGUCCUUAUCCUGUUAAAUUUAAUGGAAAUUUUACUAAUAACCUCAGAAGACCAGGAUAUUACUCUCCCUGAUUACUGGACAAGACCACUAUAACAUUAUAGCUUCAUAAGAAAUUAAAUCUCUUCCUCUACUCUUUGGAGGGGGGAAAAAGGCAUGUAUCCUCUUUUGCCUGUUCUCACAAUGGGUAAUCAUUUGAGACAGGAACUGGUGUCCAGAGGAGUGUCCUGUCUCUCAUCAUCAUAUAUUUAGCCCUGAGUUUGGAAAAUGGCUCCUACUAGAUGGGGCUGAGCUGAGUUUACCUCCAUGGUUGCAACUGUGUAUUUCUUGUCCCUGUAACCAUCAGUGCUGCAGAACCCAGCAAUGAACUUCCCUUACUUUUUAUUCAUUCCUAGGAGACUUGGUGGAGGGGUGUUGUAAUUUCUCUGUCUUCCCCUGAAAUUAUUAUUUCUGGAGUGUGUCUCAAAUGUACUUAGAGAAAAGGAAUGAAAUUCAGCAGUAUGACUGUGCUAGCAGAGCAAAUGUUUUGCUGGUGGUAGCUAUUUCUCCCAUCAUGUUGCCACUGAAUUUGUUGUGAUAUUCCUGAAAUGCCUUUAAACCCUUAAUUUCUUCUUUAGAGUGAGCCAAAGUGCUCCCUUGUAUGAAAGCUAGCCCUGAGAAGAGAGUGCUAAGCCUCUUAUGAGACCAAAGCUGUGCCUGUGUUUAGACUUAUUCCCUCACCCUCUGUGGCAUUUGAGCUGAUUCCACUUUUUAUGCCUAUCACUUUCUCAUUUCCCUUGGCUAUGAUCCCGCUUUCUUUCUGCUAGAAUGUUUGGAGGGCAGGCAAUUCCAUGGCUGCCUGCAGAUCAGCUUUCAGCAUUGAGUUGUGUAGCCACUGCCCACUGUCACUUCAGAGCCAAUUUUGGGACAGUGUCAUCAGCUUUGUCAAUCCAUAAGUCCCAGGGAGAUUUUUACCAGAUAAAAGUUUAAGUGCGUAUUAACUGGAUCAAAUUCUUAAAUGUACAUCUGAGACAUGAAGUGUCGAAUGGGACACCCAACUUUCACUAAUCAAACAAAACUAAUGCACUGAUAUCAGAGUUCCAUGAAUUCCAGCUAUCCAUAGGCACAUGAUAUCUAAAAGAUUGUCCUGUGCUCCCCCAAGCCUGUAUAUGAAUAUGUGGGAAGGAGGAAGAAAAAAUUUAGUAUUUUUAAAUUUAGUAUUCUUUUUGCAAAUUUUGCCUUUUUUUUUUUUUAUAAAGAUUUUAGUUUUCAGGUUUGUGUUUGUCAAAAACAUGGGACAAAAAAGCCAGUAUGAAUAGUAUCAGAGUUUUACAAACUCCACAAAGCAAGUAUAAAAAGAUCCAGUGGAGUGUUGCAAAUAUAUAUUGCAGCUCUCUAGUAAUAAAAAUGUCCCACUCACCUUAGAUGUGGGCCACUGUGUCCUGAAGAUGUCCUCUUGCUACCUGAACAGCAGACCCUCCUCCAGAGAGAGCAUGCCCUGAGUUGCUCUUUGCCCUCACAUUCAUUCCUGAACAAGAGCACAAGAGCCCAGGGCUGGUGUGUCAGCAGCACACAAGCUGCAACAGACCCCAGGUGGCUUCUGGCAGGAGGUUCAGCACCAGCCUGUCCUGUUGGUACGUGCCAGGACUCUCAAACAGUGCCUGGAGCUCAGACAGCUUGUAGUUUACAUGGGUUUGCAUGGACAGCUCUGUAAGUGAAGUACCAUGUGCUCCAGUUGAGUUGUCUGCAGGGACCCUGCUACUGAAAAGCAAGUCUCGGGACUGAGUUUGGACAUAUUUCUCUUUGUCUAAACACAAAAGUAUGAUCAGUUCAGCGUGAUUCACUUGCCUGGUUGGUACUAGUUAAAUUGCUCACUAGUCUAAUAGUGGCUUAACUUCAUCCAUUACCUUAAUAUUUCUUUAAAUAACUCAAUUUAAAUAAGAAACCAAUCACAUCUGGUGCAAAAUUUGCUGAAAGAUAGAGAAUAGUGGCUGCUCAGAAGCUCACAGUCUGACAUUAUCUCUAGGUCACUUCUCAAUAGGCUUCUGCAUAUCCACAACAUGACAGCUGCCUUCAGGGUGGCCAGAGAAAUGAAAAAAAAAAAAAAAAUUAAUACUUAUUUAUUUUAUUUUAAAUACCUCUCAUGUUGUAAACAAACUGAUAAGCACACCGUAGCCAGGCAUGGAACAUGUAUAAAACAGUGUAAGGAGCUCUGUUGCUCUGACAGUCAAUUGGUACACACUGAUUUGAACUUUUCACUGAUCAGACUUGCCUGCAUAAGAUUAAGCCCUUACAAUUAUCUUACAUUUGAAAAGUGGGUUUGACGAAUUUCUUUACGGCACUGGAUAGCUUUUAAUAGGACAUAUAGACCCAUUCUGGGUCCUUUUGAACAGUGGAUUUCGUUAUUGAAGGUCACAUAGUAAUUUUUCCAGGAAUAACCUGGGAUUUUUUUCAAGUUUGAUAAAUUCCAGCUCAAAUAAUUGCACUUUGCCUUCCCCAAAUCCCCCAAAGGUCCAAUUAAUUCAGGCAUUCUUAGCAUAAAACUGUUACACAUUACUACCGUACAUUGCUAGACAGCUGUUGUACUUCCCUCCAAAUUCAUUCCAGUGGUGCGUGAGCUGAUUCUCUCACACCACAGUGAUGUGGCGUGCCUGAAUUAUUCCAAUUCUCAGUCCUGCCAGAAAAAGCACAGUAAUUACACACACUUCUAUCAUGGUCUUCCUGAACCUUUUAAUCUAGAUCAUCCUUCUUUGUCCUGCUGGUUAAAUCCACUUCUGGACUGAACUCCCAAGGAUGAGGAGGGUCUCAGAGCAGGGAAUGUGCCAGGUGCACUGGCAGGCUGUACUUGUUUUGAAUACCUGAGAGGGCACCCCCACUGAGGUGAUUAGUUACUUCCCGAUUGCCUAACAGGCCUGUGACAACUGUGCUGGCUGAUAUCUAUCUGUAGUGAAAGAAAAGUUUAAAAUCUCAGAGAGUGAGUGGAUAUAGAAAAUCCAUAGCUGCAGAAGUGCCUGUUCUGCUUUUUCUUUUGAACGUGCUUUUACAUCUGGGUUUUUUGGAGUUUUUUUACCAGGUCUCAGUCUAAUCCUUGCAGCAAGAGUGUGUUUCUUUGAGGCCCACUUGUUCCUAACUCUAAUAAUCUGGUGUGACUCCUGUGGUUUGUAAAAUCAGCUGCAGUGCUCAUGUCUGACCCUUGUUGUCAGAUUGGAGCCAGCUGCCACAUCAGACUAUCAGAGCUUCUGGCUUUCCAGGUCUUGGCCAGCUUCAGAAAACUUGCCCUGUAAUAAUCACUGUGGUAAUGAGGAUGUUUCGACACCAGGGCUGAAAGCAAUGGCCUCUUGGCUCUGUAGUUCUGUUCAAAAGCAAUGUGAGGUCCAAAGGUAACCCCUGGCUAUACCAGGGAGGACCUCUGCACUGCUGGAGCAGCAGCUAAAAGCAGCAGGGCUACCAUGAGAGAGGUGCUCUCAAAAAGAAAGCUGAAAAUGACAAGGGUCAGAAGGGGUCAGUUUCUCUACCAUGUGCUUUGCUCUUUGACCUUCAGGGAUCCUUUUGGAUAUUCUGUAGAAUUUCCAAUUGUGCCAACUCCCAGCAUAGGCAUCCUCGUCUACAAGAUACAAUGAGGAAUUUUUUUUUUUUUGGUGGAGUUGCUGUGAGAUGGGAUAAUACACAUUUCUGUCUCAUCUGCACCUGUGGGUGCAUUUACCUGUCAGUCCUCAAGGGGAUCAGUUCAGCUCGAAGGAUGGAAUUUCAGCUGGCACCUUCUGAGUCAGGCCAGUGUUGGCAGGUGGAGUAUCUCUGGAAGGAGGUUGUUAGUGAUGUGUCUGUCUCUGAGGUCCAUCAAGGUUUCACUCAGCAGCAAUUUACAGCUUCCUUCCUGCAUGGCAGUCAGGGGUAGCUGUCAUCGUACCAGACGCCUUGUCCAAUCGGGAUAUCAGCAUCCUCUGACCAUGACCUGAAGUGGAGGCAUGUGCCUGCCUUUCAUUGCAUGUGCUACCAGAGUUUGCCAGCUCGCAUUUCAUCUGAGCUCAGUCUGGAGAUGGACACAUUCCAUACACGUCCUUCCUGGGGAUGUAUCAUCCCUGAAACAUUGCUUCCUCCAGGCCCAUGGGCUUCCAAGAUGUGGCAUGGAGUGAAGAGAGUAAGUUACAGGAUUAGGAAAACAGGUUUAAUUUCAUGUGUGUAAUUGGGCAAAAUUGCAUUCUUCAGAGUGGGAUGGGGAAUAGUGAAAAAACCCAUGGUGAGAGGAAGCAGAAAGCAGUUUUGUUUUUGUUUUGCCUCAGCACGUGUUGUAGAUGAGGUGACAAUGACUGUCAGGGCUGUUCCUGUGCUCCCAGCCCUAUCCCGGACGCUGUGCCUGCAGCCACUCGGGACACAGGAAGGUUCCAGCAUCGCACUGAGAGGGACUCCACUCGUGGGCGGGGGGAAAAAGCCUGGGAA